AUCUUAUUAGAGUUCGCUGCGUGGAGUAAAACCGCGAGUAUCUUUUCCACCAAUAACGGUGCUUUUGUAUUCCUCUUGAAAAAUCAAACGACGUUAUUAUACCACGCAGAAGGCUCGAAACUUUAUCGUCGCGGACUUGAGUAGAAGAGAGAACUCUGAACGUCAGAAGGGAAUUCAAUCUUCGGGAGAACGAAUGAACGAAAUUAAAAAACGAAGGAUAUUAUUCGAAACGUGUGAAAUGUGAAUUUUUAAAUAUUGCUAGCAGCAAGUCUGGACCAUGGGUAUGGUAGGUGG
rnacentral:misc_RNA from 1 species